GCUGAUUAGGAAGUGGUUUAAUAGAUCUAAAUAUUACUGUAAAUAAAUGGUAAAAUUAUUAAAAAUAAGCAGCCCCGUUUUGGUGGUUCUAGGAGCGGCACAUCACCACUAAUGGUGGCAAUUUGGUGUUGUUUUGAGAGCUUAAUAAAAAAGUGUCUGAAGGUUGAAAAUUUACCAUUUAAAUCAUUAAAAACCAUAAAGGUCCAGAUACGAAACAAGAGAUCUUUAAUAGAAAAUAAUUUGAUAAUAAAAUAGAAGAAAAACGUCACUUACUCGAAGGAUAGCAAAAGAGCGGUAAUGGUAAUCUUUGUGGAGCCUUUGAAGGCUUACUUUUAAAUGAUAAAAAUGGUAGCUUUGAGGAUGGAAAUUUUAAUGGAAAAAGUAGCAAAGGUGAUGAAGAAAAUUUUGUAAAAAUCCUCUAUCAACAAAGGAAAUAUGGGCAGAAGAGAGGGAACUUUAGGCAGUAGCACAAUGAGGGAGAAAGGGGAAAAAUAAAAAGGGAGAGAAGAGAUGAAGGGGAAGGGCGGCUAGGGUUGUAAAAGAAUGACUAAAGCCUGAAAAAUAAAUGAAAAAGUGAUAUUUAUUCCUAGGUUAACAAGCAUGGG
rnacentral:lncRNA from 1 species